AUUGAACGCUGGCGGCAUGCUUUACACAUGCAAGUCGAACGGUAACAGGUUAAGCUGACGAGUGGCGAACGGGUGAGUAAUGCAUCGGAACGUGCCCGGUCGUGGGGGAUAACGCAGCGAAAGCUGCGCUAAUACCGCAUACGAUCUGAGGAUGAAAGGGGGGGACCGUAAGGCCUCGCGCGAUCGGAGCGGCCGAUGUCAGAUUAGGUAGUUGGUGGGGUAAAGGCUCACCAAGCCGACGAUCUGUAGCUGGUCUGAGAGGACGACCAGCCACACUGGGACUGAGACACGGCCCAGACUCCUACGGGAGGCAGCAGUGGGGAAUUUUGGACAAUGGGCGCAAGCCUGAUCCAGCAAUGCCGCGUGCAGGAAGAAGGCCUUCGGGUUGUAAACUGCUUUUGUACGGAGCGAAAAGGCUCUCUCUAAUACAGGGGGCUCAUGACGGUACCGUAAGAAUAAGCACCGGCUAGCUACGUGCCAGCCGCCGCCGUAAGAC
rnacentral:rRNA from 1 species